AAUGCCCCUCGAGGCGUUGCAGCUCAACUGAGUGUUGCAGCUGUGUCAUGAGGUGGCAGAGAGGAACUGCUGGUAGUCUGCACCGAGCCUCUACUGCAUCGAGGCCUUGGCGUGAAUCUUACCACCAACAAC
ensembl:snoRNA small nucleolar RNA SNORA17